UUUUUCUGUAUUCCAGAAAUAACAUUUUCUUCAAGCUUCUGUCUAGUUCAGAGCUUUAUUUUGUGAUUCAUACUCAAUUUUCAAAGGUAUUAUUAAAAAUAUUUUGUGGGGUUUGUGUGUGCAGUGAGUUUUUGUUUGGUUAAGGGAAGAUGGUGCAAAGAUACUUAUUUCUCUUUUUUACUCUAGAUGGCCCUCUACCUGACCCAAGUAUGAUCCGUGGCAGUGUGCCAAACCAGAUGAUGCCUCGAAUAACUCCACAAUCUGGUUUGAAUCAAUUUGGCCAGAUGAGCAUGGCCCAGCCCCCUAUUGUACCCCGGC
rnacentral:lncRNA from 1 species